rnacentral:rRNA from 1 species
AAUGGAUGCUGACGAGUGGCGCACGGGUGCGUAACACGUAUGCAACCUACCUUAGACCGGGGAAUAGCCCCGAGAAAUCGGGAUUAAUACCCCAUACAAUUACGAUGAGGCAUCUCAUUGUAAUGAAAGCUCCGGCAGUCUUAGAUGGGCAUGCGCGACAUUAGCUAGUUGGUGAGGUAACGGCUCACCAAGGCUACGAUGUCUAGGGGUUCUGAGAGGAUUCACCCCCACACUGGUACUGAGACACGGACCAGACUCCUACGGGAGGCAGCAGUAAGGAAUAUUGGUCAAUGGACGCAAGUCUGAACCAGCCAUGCCGCGUGCAGGAAGACAGCCCUACGGGUCGUAAACUGCUUUUAUACGGGAAAAAACCUCCGGUCGUGCACCGGAGCUGAUGGUACCGUAAGAAUAAGCAUCGGCUAACUCCGUGCCAGCAGCCGCGGUAAUACGGAGGAUGCAAGCGUUAUCCGGAUUCAUUGGGUUUAAAGGGUGCGCAGGCGGAAUGAUAAGUCAGUGGUGAAAUCCUACGGCUCAACUGUAGAACUGCCAUUGAUACUGUCGUUCUUGAGUACACUUGAAGUGGGCGGAAUGUGUCAUGUA